rnacentral:lncRNA from 1 species
AGCACAGCUGCCCACGCGGAGGUGCGUCUAUGCUGAGCUGCCACAGCAAGGCUGCAGUGCCUGGCCCGGAGCUUGGUCACGCUGACCUCCACGGCAGGAACUGAGAGCAGCAUCUACUCCCAAUCCUGCAUAAGAGGUCAUAGAAACACCCUACAGCCCAGGGGGGAGCCAGUCCCGGCCAGGAGGUGGCGUCACAGUUCAGAGAGGUGCCAAGUGAGCAGAAAACAGCUCCUGGUCUCUGUAGCUGAGAGAGACAGAGCUGGACAUCCUGGCCCGAUGGAGCUCUGGGUGUUGUUCCCACAACAGCAACAGCACAGAGCGCUGAACACACACCCCACAGUUCACUGUCCGUGGCCAGGAGGCCAUUCAAAACGUGAUUGCUGGUUGUCAACUCCAAGAACUAACAGGAGUGAAAACUCACACACACACACCCCCAAGAAUGCAGGCUCUGCCUGGCACGCAGGGAAGUCUGCCCUCGUGCCUGGGGUUCCUUCCUCUGUGGGCAUCCCAUCUUCAGAGCCUUGGCUCUCCCUUCCCCUGAGGGAUUACUCACCACUUCCCUAACACUGCCGGGCUGCCCUGCUUUGCUGCCAUGGAGUCCAGUCAUCAGGCAGAUUCAUUCACAUCUACGCGCCUGAGUGGUACUGGCCACCACGUAACGGAGUGGACAUCAAACAGAGAAGUGGGCAACCUGGAAUUGGGUGCCAGUCCUCGAGUCCCUCAUCAGCCAAAAGAAAAUCAUCUCAUGAAUGCCUACCCUCCAGAAGUGUCACGGGGAGACCAUCAGGUGUGUACCAGAAGCACUUCCUACGCUGCAAAGCAGCAAAGAAAGGCAGCCUCUAUAGCGGUUUGUAAAGAGUGCCUUGCAGAGAGGACACAGCCUGGCUGAUGAGUUUCCAGCAGCAGAGCUUUAGGUAUGAUUGAAUCUUGGAGAGGAAGAGACUUUGGUUCUGUUGAGCCUGCUCCAUGUUUCUCAAAGCACACACCACCCACUCUGCCAACAGGUAAAGCUUCGGAUGGAACCUGCUGUGUUCUGUCCUCUUCCAGCUGAGCCAGGCCCGCGGGCCCCCUCCAGGAGCUCCGGGCAAGCAGCCCCUCAUGGCCCGUGGUGGAACUGCACCCUCAGCACUGGAGAGGGCGGUCGCAGGAGCCUGCGAGGAAGGUGGGGUCUCAGUGCUUUCGCACAGGGCGAGUGGAGCUGGAAAUGCAGCCCCCAGUAGUUUCAGUUAUUCCAUGUAUGGCUUUUCUCUCUCACCUUGCACCUUUAGACCCUAAUUUCCUGUGAGCAAUGUGCUGGGAAAACUGGCAGCAGCUCUCUGGCAACCCUGGGGGAAAGAAGCGAAGUGGGGUAGAAGCGGAAGCCAGGGGCAGAGGCUGGGUCGGUCCAGCCAGCCCGCGAGGGCUCCCACGCAGCAGAGGUUCCACUGAGAGGAAGCCGGGGCUGGCCCGGCCGGGAGACUCCCUCCACGCCCCGUGUGUGGAGUGCCCGGGCACCCUAUACCCUCAAGGUGGCCUUGACCUCUGGAGACAGGUGUUGGCUCCUUGAGUCACCAACAGCAGGGACCAGACCGGGAGGUGUUUCUGGGCGGGAAGGGCUGGGCCAGGCCAGGCUCCAGCAGGCCCCCUUGUGGUCAGAGGGGUUGCCUGCAGGAUGAUCGGCUUGGGAACCAAGGCAGCCACUCCCCACAUGGGAGUUGGACCCAGGCUUGAAGGACACAUUGUCACAUCGAUUCACUCUCCUGGGAGGCCUCCUUGUCACACAAGAUGUCCUGGCCCCGGUGUUUUUCUUCACCAUAUUUCUCCCAACUGUAAUUGUGUAGUUCCUGGGGCGCUUAUCUCUCAACGUCCAUCUCUGUGAAAAAAGCCGUGACCCUCCAGGAUAAGGUCUGUGCGUGAGACCCCCUGUGUGGAAAGGACGUAUGAAAGUCUCAGGACUCUACCUAAGAGCCAGGACCCGGCUCAGGUCGCAGCUCCACUGCACCAAUGCCCCUCAGCCCCAGGAGAGACUGAGAUCUCUGUAAACAGCAGAGAUCAGCAAUACAGGCCUUGCCCUGCUGAAACUUCCCUCUGAAAGGAAGGAUAAUGCUUUCAGCCAAGUGCCUGCCCAGAGCUCUGCAGGUGUGUGGCAUGGAGGGCCUGGUGCCCCAGGAGGAGCUCAGCCUCCUGCCCCACCAGAAUGGCCCGGGGCUCCCCAGGCUCCCUGCGAUCCUGGCUCUCGUCACACCACUCUCCAAUCCCACAUUUGGUCCUCUGUCAUGUCCAUGAGGCUGUGGGUGCACCCUGUCAUUGUUUGUAUCCCCUGGCGAUUAACACAGUCCAGGCAGAGAAUCAAGUCAACAAGAAUGAAGGAGAAAGUGGAUCAAUGAAUGUUGGGCCCUAUUUAGGGGCUGAGGACACAGAGAUAAAUAAAAUUCUAUCUCUGCCCAUGCAGGGUUCAAAGUCAAAUUGGGGGACACAAAGUAAUAAUCACAGUACAGUGAAAUUCAUGUGUAGAGUGAAAGUCAUGUUUAAGGAAGCUUUAUUAGGGCACAUGACAAAAUAUCCAUGACUAUGUUUUAGCUGGUCAGGGAAGGCUCCUUGGAGGAGGUGACUUGGAACAGUCUUAGAGGAAAGUAAAAAUUCCAGGCAGGGAUGAACAGGGCUCCCAGGCAGGGCACCUCAUGUGAAGAGGUACAAGAAGCCAGAGUGGAAAUGUGCAGAGCUUACUGUGGGGACCUAAGGGUGGCACGUACACCGUUGGAGCCAGCGCAGGAGCUGGCCUGGGGUGCCAGAAGGGAUGGAAGAAAGGUUCCCAAGGGGGUUGGAAUAUCAAGCAAGGGAUAAGUUGUGGGGUGGCGAAAGGAUUGUAAGCAGAAUGCUUGACUCCCCAGGGGUUUUUUUCCAACAGGAUUCUCUGACGGCAUUAUAGAGAGAGGAGAGGAGGGGAAGAGCCUCAGUCAGGAGGCUCUGUGGGAUGCUGUUGCCUUGGUCCAAGCAAGAGACAAGGCAGGCCCUGAGCAGGAUGUGGCGGGGGGCUGGAGUGGGAGGACGGAUUUCAGAGAUAUUUAGGAGAAAGAACUUGGGGCGCAAAGGAGAGGUGGGGAGAAAAGAGGGUGAAGGAGAAAUAAGGUAAAGGGGAACAGAAGCCAAGCAUCAGCUUCUCCUGCCUCUUCUUCUGCAAUCCUCACUCCCCAAGCACGGACCAGCCAAGGACAAAGACCCAGCUCACUGGUCAGCCUACACAUGUCUCAGCUAUUCUUCUCAUGAAAGAGGAUGUUUUAGAAACCCUGACCUGAGCUGGGUGGUCUUAUUUGUAACAAUAUUGUAGAUGGCACAUAGAGGCACUUGGAUAAAUACUGAAUGAGGCCGGGUGCAAUGGCUUACGCCUGUAAUCCCAGCACUUUGGGAGGCUGAGGAGAGCAGAUCACUUGAAGCCAGGAGUUCGAGACCAGACUGGCCAACAUGGAGAAACCCCAUCUCUACCAAAAAUACAAAAAAAUUAGCCAGGCAUGGUCGUGCAUGCUUGUAAUCCCAGCUACUUGGGAGGCUGAGGCAGGAGAAUCACUUGAACCCAGGAGGCGGAGGUUGCAGUGAGCCGAGAUUGUGCCACUGUACUCCAGCCUGGAAGACAAGAGUGAAACUCCAUCUC